rnacentral:tRNA from 1 species
GCGGAAUUAACUCAAUUGGUAGAGUGUUACCUUGCCAAGGUAAAAGUUGCGAGUUCGAGUCUCGUAUUCCGCUCCA